rnacentral:rRNA from 1 species
GACGAACGCUGGCGGCGUGCUUAACACAUGCAAGUCGAACGGUGAAGGGGUGUGCUUUUGGGGGGCCCGGGUGGGGGGCGAGUGGGUGAGUAACACGUAAGCUACCCUCCACCUUGGGCUGGCUUAACGCAAGUGGGGCUGGUAAAGGAGGGGAACUCCGGGUGCGUGGCGUGGGGGGGAUGGGUUAGGUGGUGGGGUUUGGUGUUGUUGGUUGGGGGUGGGGUGGCGGGCUAUUGGCUUGUGGGUGGGGUGAUGGGUGACCAAGGCGUGGGGGAGCAGCCGGCCGGCGAGGGGGGACGGUCACACUGUGACUGGGACACUGCCCAGAGUCCUACGGGAGGCAGCAGUGGGGAAUAUUGCACAAUGGGAGCAAGCCUGAUGCAGCGACGCCGCGUGAGGGAUGGCGGCCUUCGGGUUGUAAACCUCUUUCGCCAGUGAAGCAGGCCUGCGUCUUGUGGGUGGGUUGACGGUAGCUGGAUAAGAAGCGCCGGCUAACUACGUG